GAUGAACGCUGGCGGCGUGCCUAAUACAUGCAAGUCGAGCGAACGGACGAGAAGCUUGCUUCUCUGAUGUUAGCGGCGGACGGGUGAGUAACGCGUGGAUAACCUACCUAUAAGACUGGGAUAACUUCGGGAAACCGGAGCUAAUACCGGAUAAUAUUUUGAACCGCAUGGUUGAAAAGUGAAAGACGGUCUUGCUGUCACUUAUAGAUGGAUCCGCGCUGCAUUAGCUAGUUGGUAAGGUAACGGCUUACCAAGGCAACGAUGCAUAGCCGACCUGAGAGGGUGGUCGCCCACCCUGGAACUGAGACACGGUCCAGACUCCUACGGGAGGCACCAGUAGGGAAUCUUCCGCAGUGGUCGAAAGCCUGACGGAGCAACGCCGCGUGAGUGAUGAAGGUCUUCGGAUCGUAAAACUCUGUUAUUAGGGAAGAACAUAUUUGUAAGUAACUGUGCACAUCUUGACGGUACCUAAUCAGAAAGCCACGGCUAACUACGUG
rnacentral:rRNA from 1 species